rnacentral:rRNA from 1 species
AUUGAACGCUGGCGGCAGGCCUAACACAUGCAAGUCGAGCGGAUGAAGGGAGCUUGCUCCUGGAUUCAGCGGCGGACGGGUGAGUAAUGCCUAGGAAUCUGCCUGGUAGUGGGGGAUAACGUCCGGAAACGGGCGCUAAUACCGCAUACGUCCUGAGGGAGAGAGUGGGGGAUCUUCGGACCUCACGCUAUCAGAUGAGCCUAGGUCGGAUUAGCUAGUUGGUGGGGUAAAGGCCUACCAAGGCGACGAUCCGUAACUGGUCUGAGAGGAUGAUCAGUCACACUGGAACUGAGACACGGUCCAGACUCCUACGGGAGGCAGCAGUGGGGAAUAUUGGACAAUGGGCGAAAGCCUGAUCCAGCCAUGCCGCGUGUGCGAAGAAGGUCUUCGGAUUGUAAAGCACUUUAAGUUGGGAGGAAGGGCAGUAAGUUAAUACCUUGCUGUUUUGACGUUACCAACAGAAUAAGCACCGGCUAACUUCGUG